rnacentral:rRNA from 1 species
AGAGUUUGAUUCUGGCUCAGAACGAACGCUGGCGGCGUGGAUAAGACAUGCAAGUCGAACGGAAUAGUAAAGUAGCAAUAUGAUACUAUUUAGUGGCGAACGGGUGCGUAACACGUGGACAACAUUCCGAAAAGCGGGGAAUAGCCCAGGGAAACUUGGAUUAAUGCCCCAUGUGGUCGAAAGACUAAAGGCGCAAGCCGCUUUUUGAUUGGUCCGCGGCCUAUCAGCUUGUUGGUGGGGUAAUGGCUCACCAAGGCUACGACGGGUAGCUGGUCUUAGAGGACGACCAGCCACACUGGAACUGAGACACGGUCCAGACACCUACGGGUGGCAGCAGUCGAGAAUCUUUCACAAUGGGGGCAACCCUGAUGGAGCGACGCCGCGUGGAGGAUAAGGUCUUCGGAUUGUAAACUCCUGUCAUGCGAGAACAAAGCUGCAAAGCCUGAUAGUAUCGCAAGAGGAAGAGACGGCUAACUCUGUGCCAGCAGCCGCGGUAAUACAGAGGUCUCAAGCGUUGUUCGGAAUCACUGGGCGUAAAGGGUGCGUAGGCUGCGCGGAAAGUCGGAUGUGAAAUCCGGAGGCUCAACCUCCGAAUUGCAUUCGAUACUGCCGCGCUGGAGUUCUCAAGGGGGGUCUGGAAUUCUCGGUGUAGCAGUGAAAUGCGUAGAUAUCGAGAGGAACACUAGUGGCGAAGGCGAGACCCUGGGGAGAUACUGACGCUGAGGCACGAAGGCUAGGGUAGCAAACGGGAUUAGAUACCCCGGUAGUCCUAGCAGUAAACGGUGCGCGUUUGGUGUGGAGGGUGACCCCUUCUGCGCCGGAGUAAACACGUUAAACGCGCCGCCUGGGAAGUACGGUCGCAAGACUAAAACUCAAAGAAAUUGACGGGGACCCGCACAAGCGGUGGAGUAUGUGGCUCAGUUCGAUGCAACGCGAAGAACCUUACCUAGGGUUGACAUGCAUUCUGUCUUCGGUGAAAGCUGGAUAGUGUAGCAAUACACGGUUUGCACAGGUGCUGCAUGGCUGUCGUCAGCUCGUGUCGUGAGAUGUUGGGUUAAGUCCCGCAACGAGCGCAACCCUUGUCUUUUGUUGCCACCGCCUUUCGGCGAGCACUCAAAAGAAACUGCCCAGAUCAACUGGGAGGAAGGUGGGGACGACGUCAAGUCCGUAUGCCCCUUACGCCUAGGGCUGCACACGUACUACAAUGCCCAGCACAAUGUGACCCAAAUCCGCAAGGACUAGGAAAUCAACAAAGCUGGGCGCAGUUCAGAUUGAAGGCUGCAACUCGCCUUCAUGAAGUAGGAAUCGCUAGUAAUGGCACAUCAGCAACGGUGCCGUGAAUACGUUUCCGGGUCUUGUACACACCGCCCGUCACAUCAUGGAAGCUGGCUAUGCCCAAAGCGCCCAAGUCAACCGCAAGGCGGCUGGGUUAUAAGGCAAGGCUGGUAACUGGGAUGAAGUCGUAACAAGGUA